GCCAAAUGGUUUAAGGCACACCCGGCGUGCAUUAGCACCAUGCGUGGUAUGCGCAUGUAGCGACCCCUAACGGUAAAAUCUUGUUGAAUCUAGCGUAUGACACAUGCGCUUGGCAACCAUCAAUUCUUUUUUGUUCUUUUUUUUUCUAUUGAUUCAACCGUCCAACACUCGUUCAUGGAUUGUUUUACCCUUUAUCUCCUACAGGAUAGAAGAAAUAACCGGCAUAGUGCAUAUGCUAAUUUCCCCCUUGUGACAACUAGAUUUUAAACAUAAGUUUAUUAGUACUUAGCUAGCAAACGCGCGAGUCAUUGCUUUGCUUUUGUUGAUGAUAAGUCAUAAUGUUUAUCAUUGAUUAAAAAAAUUUAUA
rnacentral:lncRNA from 1 species